CGUGUUGAAAAGCUGAGUGCGGACCGGAGGAGGAGUGAGACGAGUCUGCAGCUGCAGCGCGCACACAAACGCCUUCCUUUCUCCCAACAACCGGGGAUGCCUGGUUGUCACAUCGUCUACUUUUCUUGGGAAGGAUUAUUUCUCUUUUUAAAUUGAUUUGGUUCAACCGGAGACUUGACUCACAAUGAUGAACAAUAGAGAUCGCUGGAAGGUGUACAAGAGGGUGAGUGUCAUGUUCUUCCUGGCAGUGGUGGCGCUCACCGUUAUCCAGAGAGGGAGCAUCAACAUGGGGGCUCCAUUUGAACUCGAAAGGCAAACACGCAUGGAUGCCUCAGGGAGAGUGGAGUCCGGAGCUCCUCUUCAAGAGAAGAUGCACUCCUUUCAGGGGGUGAAAGGCUUUUGGAAGGCAAGCAAACACCAUCCGCCUUAUGGAGGUCGAUCCACCACCCAAGAACCCAGCAUCACUCAUGACAAUAGCGCUACGACCUGGGAUGUGACCGCCACCAACUGUACCGCCAACCACAAUCUUUCAGGCCAGGAUUGGUUUCAGGGUCUGGAGGAUACAUUCAAGCAGUUCAUGCUUUAUCGACACUGUCGUUACUUCCCAAUGCUUCUCAACCACCCGCAAAAAUGCUUUGGGGAGAUUUAUUUGCUCAUGGUGAUCAAAUCUGUGGCAACCCAACAUGAUCGCAGAGAGGUCAUUCGAAAAACGUGGGGAAAGGAGAGGGUCAUAAAUGGCAAGAGGAUAAAGACAUUCUUCCUUCUAGGUAAACCAUCCAGCCAGGCCGAGAGGGCGAACCAUCAGAAGCUUGUGGAGUAUGAGAACCACAUCUAUGGGGAUAUCCUCCAGUGGGACUUCUUAGAUAGCUUCUUUAAUCUCACGCUGAAGGAGACGCACUUCCUCAAAUGGUUCCAUACCUACUGCCCAAGUGUUCAGUACAUCUUCAAGGGGGACGACGAUGUUUUCGUCAGUGUGGAGAACAUCUUUGAGUUCCUUGACAGCACUAACCGUGCAAGGAACCUCUUUGUAGGGGAUGUGAUUUUUAAGGCUAAGCCGAUCCGAAAAAAGGAAAAUAAGUACUACAUCCCACUGGCACUGUAUAAUAAAACCCAUUACCCUCCGUACGCAGGCGGUGGGGGGUUUCUGAUGGAUGGUAACCUGGCAAGGAGGCUUCAUUGGGUUGCAGAUACCCUAGAGCUGUACCCCAUUGACGAUGUCUUUUUAGGUAUGUGCCUGGAAGUCCUUCAGGUUGCUCCAGUAAAACAUAAUGCCUUUAAGACUUUUGGCCUUGUGAAAAACAAGAACAGCAAAAUGAACAGAGAACCUUGUUUCUUUAGGAGCAUGAUUGUUGUUCACAAACUGCUCCCAACAGAACUCAUACGCAUGUGGCAUCUGGUCAACAGCGACCUGGUCUGUUCACAAAAAGUGGAGAUCCUAUAGCUUGACCAGGACGAUAAAUGGACAGCGCCAAGUUGGAUCUCACUGUCAGGAUAGUCAAAGGCAAACUGUGCAAUACUCUCCUUUCUGUGGAGAGGCUGGGACAGUAUUUGCUAUCGCUGUGGUAUUUGUGUGGAGGUUCUCCAAAAAUUGAGUAAAUUAUGUUUUAGGAAAUUGUUGUAUUUAUAAGACAUUUAAGACACUGAAGCUGUGGCAUCAAUCGGAACACGAAGGACGGCGAUUACGUGAUUUGUGAUUUAGGCCUGCUGGUGCUGAUCAUUUCCUUUGGCACACUCCUUUGCAGCCUUCUCUUUGCUGGUCUCCUUGUAAAGACAUUAUGGGUGGGUUGAAGCCUAUCGUAGCUACGCUCUGGACUGGUCGCCAGAACCAUUCUUUGCAUUGUACUGGUCUUUGCAAUUUUUGGAGGGAGGAACGACACUGACUUGAUGUGGAGAGCAACUACUUCAUACUGAGAGCUGCCCAUGAAACUGAAUGUGCUGAUAUACUUGAUGUGACAUUGACUGAAGGUUUACACGAUGACAUUGUACUAAAACUAUUACUGGUACGACUAUGUAAGACAGGGGUGUCCAAAGUGCAGGGCGGGGGCCAUUUGCAACCAGCGACUUUUUUUUAUUGGCCCAAGGGCACAUUCUAAAAUUAUAAUUUAAUAAAAUAAAAAUCGAAUACAUUAAAAAUGUAUCGUGAUAUGAGAAACAAACAAAACAAAAAAAUUGCAAAAAAUUAAAAUAAAAAAAAAUGGUUGUGGAAAAAGUUACAAUAUUAUGGAAAUAAAGUCAGAAUUAUAAGAAGAAAAAUUAUAAAAAAAGAAAGUUGAAAUAGUUGGAAUAAAAGAAGCAGAAAUGGAAAAAAACAGUUGGAACUUUAUUUAAAGUCAAAUCAAGAGAAAGAAGGUGUAUUGUACUGAGAUAAAAAGUUGCAAUUUUACAAGAAAAUACUCUGAAUAUUAUGAGGAAAAAUAAUGUACUUACUAGCUUAGAGUUGAAAUAUUAAAGAGAAAAAAUAUUUUUUUAAGUUGUAAUAUUAUGAGAAAAAAAUGUAAUUUUUUAAAGUUAGCUUGGGGAAAAUUUUAUAAUAUAGGAAUAAAAUCUUAUUACAAGAAAAUUUGCAAAGAUUAUUUAUGAAGAAAUUUGAAAUAUUUGGAAAAUUUAAAACUGCAAAAAAAGAGAAAAACAGAGCAAAGUUCAUACUAUUAAUACACUUUUUCACCUAUAUGAUUAAGCAGAGAUGCAGUUUUUUCUUGAAAUAUUUUUAACAUCUUAGCUUUGCUUUACAAAAUAUCAAAGUGGGCCUUUUCAGUAUGUGGCCCUCACUGGAAAAGGUCUGGACACCCCUGAUGUAGGAUGUUAAUUUAGGAACCCUGCCCUCGACAAAAUGUGAGCUUAAAUGUUUAACGCAUGGAAUGUUCCAUGGUUAUUAAUAUUUUGGGAGUGGGAGUUAAUUAUGGUCUCGGUGAUGUAAAUACUGUAUAUGCACACAUUAAAGAAUGUAAAUAAAUGUUGAGUUUUGGUCCAAAAAGAAUUGUUCUUUGUAAAUCUGUCCUGGAUCAGCUGCUUUUGUGUUCGCCCUUAUCAGCAUCUUUGUGAAGAUCUGCAACAGGUCAGCCAACAAUAGUGUCCAAUGUUGACGCGGGAGAGGCAGUCACGCUACGUGACAGUAAACAGUAAAUAUAACUUUACGUGGCUAUGAAGGUAAUAAACAAUGGUCCUCAUGAAACAUUUUGUAAGAACAUAAAGACAUAACCAAAUGUAGAGAUGCAACAAUUAAUCGAUUAUUAUUAAUCGAGCAAAUCCGCUCCAAUUUAAUAAUGAUGACGUCCCCACUCCGUUGCCGUCACGUGACCAGAAUUGAGCUUUGACGACAAGCCAACAUAUCUGAAUAUUUUGAGUGCCUUGACUCACCGCAGUCGACAUUCUGCCGGUAUUUUCUUGUCUUAUACCUGCACAGGGCGGACGCUACCAUUUUUCAAAAAAGAAAAAAAAAAAAAAAAAGAACGUUCGUGUGGACAGGACAGUUGACGGUAAUACAAGUAGCUGUUUGGACCACACCGACGGCAGCUUUAUGGCAAGAAAAAUUAACAUAUCAGACUUAAUUGCACAGUCAUCCACAGCAAAUUUCCCACUCAAGUGAUACUAUUCCACUCCACGACCGCUUUCUUUAAUCUACAGACCAACAACUGUUGACACUUACUGGUGGAAGCGUUUGAUGUCAGUCUGGUUAAUGGAUUGAGCAGCGGUUUUUCCACACAAGUACUCUUUUCGCAAAGGCCCCCCGAAAAACAACUUUGUUGGCACAAGCAGGAGGUGAGAAUUUUACUGCUUGGGUUCAAAUGAAAAGUUGCGUUCCUUAGUAUAAACGUUGCUAAAGUUUUAUAGAAAAUGGGAGUGUUUACCAAGAUAAGGACUAUUCCCACCUCCAAAUACACUGCUUAGUUGAACCCUGAUGGCGACCAUUUUUUGGCCAUCCGGUGUAACUAACGCUAGUCAUGACCCUCGCCAUGCCAACUGGGCUAGCAUUAAAAUUAAAUUGUGCCCACACAAUCGGAACACUUAAUUUAUUCUUCCAAAUGCUUCUCGUGGUAUAGUUGAAGGAAAAACCCUCCGUCGUGAUGUUCGACAUACUUUACUGCAGUUUAGUGGAGAAUUGAGCUAUUAGCCUGCCCCCUGGUGGAGAAAGGGUUACCAUAUGAAGCCUGUCAUUUUCUAGACUUCAGUCGUUGCUGCGAAGAUCUUAAAUAUCAGACAGGCAUUUCAAAUUUUAAAGAACUUUAGAACAAAUACCUCGGUGGAAGUCUAAAAAUGUGUACUACUCGAAUGCUUUCAUUUACGUGAAACGGCAGAAGUGAAACCAACUACAAAAUACCCCGGAUGUUUUUGCACCGCCCAUUUCGGAGACUUCCGUGUACUUGCCAUCCCAGAAUGCAUUGCGUUUCAGUGCGCGCCAAAUGGCUGCCGUGCGUUUUCCCCGUAGUAAGGGUAUUUCCGCUGUAAACUUUCCAUUUUAACAGCCAUCUCGCCUGAAGCAAACAUCACUAAACUUAUGGAGUGCAUGUUUCGCAGUUGGCUACCGUUUUUAUAACGCAUUAAAAAUAAAAUAAGAGUAUUAAUAUCUCAGACACAGGGAAGCCCAAUAUUGACAGACGUUUAAAAAUCACCACCUUUACGGUUUAUUCAAUCAGACAAUUAGAUUCUCAGAUGGGAAAAAUUAGUCAACAAUACAAAUAUGUUACAGAUCAGAGGUGCUCGCCUUCCAACUUGAACAUAUGUCCCGAAAAAAAAAAAAAAAAACACAAUGACAGUUUGUCAUGGUAACGCCAAACUCUUGAGUGGACUCAAUCCUCUAGCAAAAUAUGCUUUACACAUUACAGCAAGACUAAAGCAAAUGAUAAACGAUAAAGAGUGGAUACAAGUGUAUUUUACAAAUGGUAAAAUGGAAAUCACAAACUGUUUUAAUUUACACAUGUAUGUAUGUAUGUAUGUAUGUAUGUUUGGGGGUGGGGGUAGAAGACGAGCUCAGUUUUCACAGCAAACUGGUUUGCCAGACCCAUAACAUUUCACUCCUUUAGAAACACAAACUAACCGGGUGAAGGGGUGCAAGAUCUCAUUCAAGACAUUCAUUACUCACAUGAGUUGAAAGGUCAAACAUGCCAUUUUGGCACAGGAGGGCAGGUAAAGUUUGAGGGUUCUAAAUAUAAAGGGCUAAAAUGCCCAUUAACAGUUAAAUAUAACAAUGACGCUUUCUGGAAUGUCCAAAAGCUCUGAAAACUGAUGAAACCAGAGUCCAUUCAAAAAGUAAAAGACUAAAAAGGAUUUAGUCAUCAAACUUGAUUCUCUUUCCUUGGGGCUUGGCUCCAAAUCCUCCACCACCUCGU